rnacentral:rRNA from 1 species
AUGACUAUAAGGAACCAACGAUUAUCUCUUCUUAAACAACAUAUAUACUCCACACUUAACCAUCAUUUGAUAGAUUAUCCAACCCCGAGCAAUCUUAGUUAUUGGUGGGGGGUCGGUUUGUUAGCAGGUAUUUGUUUAGUCAUUAAGAUAGUGACCGGCGUUUUUUUAGCUGUGCAUGACACACCUCAUGUGGAUCUAGCUUUCAACAACGUAGAACACAUUAUGAGAUAUGUUGAAGGGGGCUGGUUGCUCCGUUAUAUGCAUGCUAAUGGGGCAAGUAUGUUUCUCAUUGUGGUUCACCUUCAUAUUUUUCGUGGUCUAUAUCAUGCGAGUUAUAGCAGUCCUAGGGAAUUUGUUCGGUGUCUCGGAGUUUUCAUAUUCCUAUUAAUGAUUGUGACAACUUUUAUAGGAUACGUACCACCUUGGGGCCAGAUGAGCUUUUGGGGAGAAACAGUAAUUACAAGCUUAGCUAGCGCCAUAACAGUAGUAGGAGAUACCAUAGUGACUUGGCUUUGGGGUGGUUUCUCCGUGGACAAUGCCACCUUAAAUCGUUUUAUUAGUGUCCAUCAUUUACACCCCCUUAUUUUAGUAGGCGCCAGUCUUCUUCAUCUGGCCGCAUUGCAUCAAUGUGGAUCAAAUAAUCCAUUGGGUGUACAUUCUGAGAUGGAUAAAAUUGUUGGGUACCUUCUGCUAUCUUUUUUUCCAUUUGGAUUUUUUUUUGCUCCUAAUGUUUUGGGGCAUCCCGACAAUUAUAUACCUGCUAAUCCGAUGCCCACCCCGCCUCAUAUUGUGCCGGAAUGCUAUUUCCUACCGAUCCAUUCCAUUCUUCGCAGUAUACCUGACAAAGCGGGAGGUGUAGCCGCAAUAGCACCAGUUUUUAUAUCUCUCUUGGCUUUACCUUUUUUAAAAGAAAUGUAUGUGCGCAGUUCAAGUUUUCGACCGAUUCACCAAGGAAUAUUUUGGUUGCUUUUGGCGGAUUGCUUACUACUAGGUUGGAUCGGAUGUCAACCUAUGGAGGCACCAUUUGUUACUAUUGGACAAAUUCCUUCUAUCUUUUUCUUCUUGUUCUUUGCCAUAACGCCCAUUCCGGGACGAGUUGGAAGAGGAAUUCCAAAAUAUUACACGGAUGAGACACAUCACACCAGAUCCUUUUCUCCUUUUGGCCAUAGCCAUAUAAUGAACAGGACUAUUUCUCCUUUUGGCCAUAGCCAUAGAAGAAGCUUCUCCUCCGGAGCGGGGGGGGGGGCCACCUGA